GGCUUAAUACAUGCAAGUCGAGGGGGCAGCAAUGUCACCGGCGAACGGGUGCGUAACGCGUAUGCAACCUACCUACAUCAGGGGGAUAGCCCUAGGAAACUGGGAUUAACACCGCAUAACAAUAGAGUUGGCAUCAACUUUAUUUGAAAUAUUUAUAGGAUGUAGAUGGGCAUGCGUAGGAUUAGCUAGUUGGUAAGGUAACGGCUUACCAAGGCUACGAUCCUUAGGGGCUCUGAGAGGAGUAUCCCCCACACUGGCACUGAGAUACGGGCCAGACUCCUACGGGAGGCAGCAGUAGGGAAUAUUGGGCAAUGGAGGCAACUCUGACCCAGCCAUGCCGCGUGCAGGAAGACGGUCCUCUGGAUUGUGUUCUGC
rnacentral:rRNA from 1 species